rnacentral:misc_RNA from 1 species
UUUCCGUAGGUGAACCUGCGGAAGGAUCAUUAUUGUAUAACCGAGGUGCUAGGGCUGUCGCUGACCCGAAAGGUCGUGCACGCCCGAGUGUCCGCACACACAUCCAUCUCACCCCUAUGUGCACCACCGCGUGGGUCCCCCUUUGGCUUGUUCGGAGUGGGGCUUACGUUUUCACACAUACUUUGUAUGCAGUGUAGAAUGUAUUUUUUGUUUUUGCGAUCACGCAAUCAAUACAACUUUCAACAACGGAUCUCUUGGCUCUC